rnacentral:rRNA from 1 species
UCGAGAAUCAUUCACAAUGGACGAAAGUCUGAUGGUGCAACGCCGCGUGGAGGAUGACGGUCCUAGGAUUGUAAACUCCUGUCAUCAGGGAGUAAGACUUAUGCGUUAAGAGCGUGUAAGUUUGAUAGUACCUGAAGAGGAAGGGACGGCUAACUUCGUGCCAGCAGCCGCGGUAAUACGAAGGUCCCAAGCGUUGUUCGGAAUCACUGGGCGUAAAGCGUGUGUAGGCUGCGCGGAAAGUCAAAUGUGAAAGCCCGGGGCUCAACCUCGGAACUGCAUUCGAUACUCCCGUGCUAGAGUAAUGGAGAGGUAAGUGGAAUUCUCGGUGUAGCAGUGAAAUGCGUGGAUAUCGAGAGGAACAUCAAUGGCGAAGGCAACUUACUGGACAUUUACUGACGCUCAGACACGAAGGCCAGGGUAGCGAAAGGGAUUAGAUACCCCCGUAGUCC